GCCUCGGUGGUGUAGUGGCAGCACACGUCCGCGUUAUGGAUAAAACGCGGGUUUAACUCCCGUCUGAGGUC